UUCUAUGAUGAAACGGCACUGGGCUCCGACUUUAUAAUGAGCAGACAUGCCACCUGCGACAGGCCUAGAAAACCUCGUCCACUGAUC
rnacentral:snoRNA from 1 species